AAUGGCGGGUGCAUCCGAGGUCCGGCAAGCUCUGGGUCUCCUCCACUGUCCUUCCUCCCUGCUUCUGGUGUCUGCCAGGCAGUGGCUUCUGUGACAAGGGCAAGGAUCGUAUGGCCCUCCAGAUGCAGCCGGGCUACUACACAUCCCCUCAUCAGUCCUGCCCGUGGGUCCCGCUGACUGGCCGGGGUGGGUGGGAGUUGGAGUCCGCCUUUCCCCCCACCUUUUACUAAGCGCUAUUAUUGGCAAUAAGGACAAAUGGAGAGCUGGGGGCGGGUGUUGGGAAGUAGAAGGCAAGGCUGCCGCGGAAGGGCCACCAAGAGCAGGGGAGACCCCAGCCCGGCCUCUCUCAGAAGCCAGGCCCGGAGCCAAAGCUCUUCCGAGGAGACGCGUGACCCCCCUGGUUCCCUCCAGGCUUCCAGGCUCUUUCUAGCCCGAGCCUGGGCUCUUCUAGUGGUGGGCGGUGAAAUGCGGGUGACCGCAGCAGGCCCUUAAGAAGCACUUACAUUGAUGCAUUGCUUAACAAAUCCGAAGUGGCAAAUAAUCACUCUGGGGGAUGACCCAGCUUGGAGAAGGGAGCAAUAAUGUGGGCUGCUCCAGAGAAAGAGAGAGAAAGGAAGGAAGGAAGGGGGGAAAAGGAAGACGGGGAAAGUCUGGAGCCAGUUCUUUGGGGAAAUCUUUCGAAGCGAAGAACCAUAGGCAGGCACAUCUUCCCCACGGCGAGCUUUUCUUUCGGAAAAGACCGAUAAGAGCCUCACCAUGGAGAAAUCCGGACCCGAGAGCGGAAGAGAGGCGGCGGCUGACUUGUCCCCUUGAAGGAAAGGAAAGGCACCAAAAUUCAGCCACUCCUAAGGUAGAGCGUGUACAGAAAUAAUUCCCUUCAGUCUUCCAGGGACAGUUGGAGUUGGCUGAAUCUGACUCUACAAACUGGCUUUGGGCCAAGGAUCAUAACGGGUGCUAUAAGAACAGCUGCAGAUCUGGGUCUCUUUUCCUGCUAUUCUCUAUGGUAUCUACUGCAAGCAAUGCACCUUAUGCUGUCAUCACACAGUGUGUCUCCCCUAGCCUACCAGCUGCUGAUGUCAGGUAGAGACAAUGAGACACACAGUGCAAUGGCCAACAUACAGUUGGCCCCAGAGAAGAAACUGCUUCUUCAACCACCACGUAGUCAAACGAUGGCAUUUGCUCCCACAAGAUUUAGUGAUUGCCACCAGCUUGGAUAGUUUUAAAAGGGGUUAGAUGAAAUCACAAAGGAUAAGGCUGUCAAUGGGUACUAGUAUAACGUCCAGUAUCAGAGGAAGGAUGUCUGAAUUGCUGGGGAACAUGACGCGGGAGAAUGCUAUAGCACUCAUGUCCUGCUUCGAGGGGAGGACCUGAUUAUUAGCCGCUGUGAGAGCAGGAUGCUGAACUAUAUCGCCCUGUGGUCUGAUCAAGGGCUCUUACAUUCAGAACCCCAAACCAAGGCUUGCAAAAAGCACUCACAGAAGCGAACGACACAUGGCAAGUACGUCAGCUUCUCAUCUUGUUUCAGAAAUCCUGUAGCUUGGCUAGGGACCAUUUCCUACUAAGGUCUGUCACCAUAUAUCUGGCAGGAAACAUUCCCUUUCCUCUUUAUCCAAUGGCUAAAACUAAUCCAUGGAGGAUUAUGCAUAUAAACUGCGGAUGGCAAUGCACCUUAAGCAUGAAUAUGACAGGUCAUAGUUUCCUGCAAAUCAAACUUAAGCUUGCAAAGUCCCAUCUCAUCCGAGGGUUUAAAUUGGAUUAGUUAUUUUUAAACCUCACAGAAGGGGCAUUAAAAUGUGCUUUUCAAGCAGCCACAAGCAAUUCCUGCCGUAGGGCAUGGGCUGCUCUGCUCAUAAUUCCUCUCCCUAUCCCUUUAAAUAACCCCAAGUGAUGAGACAGAAAAUAAUAUGCCCAGGCACAGGAAGGCACUCUACUUGCCUUUGCUGAUUGUUGACUUUAGAGAAUUCAGAUUUCACUUGUGGGUUGGGGUUUGUUUUGUUUCACAAUCCAGGAUUUGCUGUUCUACCAGAAUUCAGCAGGAUAUAUAUAUAUAUAUAUAAAGAAACCAACAACCCUCAGUCCUACCCAUAACUCCUUAAAGAGAUCGUUACUGGAAUGAAUAGUCUACAAAGUUGAAGGUAGCAUGCAACUCAGUCACCUAAGAAUCACCAGGUUAUAAAACUACCUAAAUCCUUGCCUUCCUUCCUUCCCUUUCUUGUUACAUUCUGAUCUGGAAACCACUGCUGCCAUUGUUAGCUUUGAGCUACUCUGCAAUUUCUGGCCAAGUUAAGUAGGGGCUCUAGCUUAACUCUUACAUUUAAUACCUUGGGUUUGUCAUGCAGUAUCUCCUUUGCAAUUGCAAUAUCAAGACAAGAGCCUCAAGAUUUGAUAUGCGCAUUCCUGGCAAAAUGUGUCCACAUUUGAAUACCCACCCUAUCCACCCACCUGUUUUUAUGGGAAAAGUACAACUUUAUAAAUGUCUGGAAUUUUUAGGGAGCUUCCUCUUCCGCUUCUGUGGAUUGAAUUAUUCCUUUUUCUUUCCAUUUUAGCUAGAUCUAGGCUUGCAGAAAAUUUUAUUGUGGAGUUGGUGCUACUCAAUGGAUUUUUUUUUCACAGCAGCCACAUGACAUUGUCCUCAUCAAAAAUACCAUUCCACAUGGCCCCAUUUAAUCAGGAUUCUGUGACGGAGUCUGCCCCUUUUGGGAUUGCUUGCUUGCUGGACUCAGCGCCUUUUGAGAUUGCUAGCUUGCUUCCAUAGAAGUUAGCCAAGAGUUAAAAUAUUCAUAAACCUCAGGUUUCAAAGAGUUAGCCACGGCUCUAAUGGGGACACCUGUUUUCUUCCUAAAUGUUCUCAAUGAUCAACCCUAUAUUCACUGGUACUGGACCAAAAGAACUGAAAGAUUUGUUGCCUUGCUGACAUGGGAUUUCAAAGGGAUGCGCUUAACUUUUGCAUACAGAUCUCAAAUCCAACUUUGCACUCUGCAUGCUCCAAGUUUAGGUAUACCCCAUCACUGCUCACUUUCUCUAGACUUUUGCUUAGUUCUUUCACACUUCCAGACUAAGGUGUCUGUACUGAAUAUUUGCUCCUUGCACAUUUGUAACUUGGCUGUCUUAAGAGCAGCACACAUCUUCUCUGCUUUUCUUUUCUGUGCAAUAAACCAAUCUUCUACUUCCUGGUGUGGCAAGUUCUUUAUUAGGCAUAAGGUUUAAAGGUUUACACACAUUUUAAAUGGAUGCACGUCCUGACUCCACGCAAAAGGUUCCAUUCCUCUCAAAAGUGCGCAUUGGAUCGAUACAUGUGGUGGACACAUAUGAGGGUUCAGAUAUGCAUCUUUUAACAGUUUCUCAUCGUACAGGAGCUUUAGGCAGACAGAAGUGUAAAUUGCUUUGGCUUGCUCCAGAGCCCAGCAUAUGAGGCAACCUUGCAUCUACUCUGGAGUUAAUGGGAGGGUCGCAUUGAUUCUGCUCUCCAGAUUUGCGGGAGGGAUCCCUGGGUUGUGCUAAGUGGAUUCGUCAAACCUGUUUCAAGGGAUAGUAGCUCUGUACUGAAAUGAAUGGAAACUGUAAAGCAGCAGUAAUGGACGUUUUCCACCAGUCUGGCAUGAUUCAGCCAGUUAAGCACUUUUCAGUUCUGCUUUCAAAGGCUGAAAUGUAUUCACUUAAUGACUGAGCUCCAUGAGCUGUGGCCAACUAAGCCCAACUCAGAGUAGACACACUGAAAUUAAUGAAGUCAAGUUAGUUAAGUCCAUUAGUUUCAAUGGGUUCUCGCUGUAUAUGACCAACAUCGGAUACAACCCAGGAAGAUUAUAAAGGCUGCAAUCCAAUGUCCAUUUUCCUGGAUGCAAGUCUUGUUGAACGCACAGAGGACUCACCCACCCUUCUGCUUUUACAUUUGCCCCGCUGCUUUCCCCAGGAAAACCUGCUCCUUACUGCUGAAUCUGAGCAAAUGUCAGUCCACAAAAAACCCCACUGAGGUUUGCUGAUUCAGCAAAAAGUGGGUUUUUCUGGGGGAAAGUGUUAGGACAAGCAGAAGUGUGGCCAAUCCCCGUGAUUUACUUCUGAGUAAACAGGCACAGAAGUAUACAGCAGAACUGCUUAACAUUAAUUGCGCUGUGUCCAUAAUUUUAAAAGAACUUUUUUUUGUUGUCACAAGUUAUGUGGGUUGAAAUAUUAUUGGCUUCUUGAGCAGACAGCUGAUAAUUUGUUUAUUUUCAAGAAGUAAGGCUAUACAGAUGUCUUGACAAAACUAUCAGGUUAAAUGCACUUGUUAUCUGUUAGAAAUGAAAGUUAACAAUAAAUAAGUGAUUUAUGCUGUCAAUAA